CCUACGGGUGGCAGCAGUAGGGAAUAUUGCUCAAUGGGGGAAACCCUGAGGCAGCAAGGCCGCGUGGAGGUUGAAGGUUUUCGGAUUGUAACCUCCUUUUGUUGGAGAAGAUAAUGACGGUUUCUACCAAAUAAGCACCGGCUAACUCCGUGCCGGCAGCCGCGGUAAUACGGGGGGUGCAAGCGUUACUAGGAAUCACUGGGCGGAAAGAGCGCGUAGGCGGGAUAGCAAGUCAGAUGUGAAAUCCUAUGGCUUAACCAUAGAACUGCAUUUGAAACUGUUAUUCUAGAGUAUGGGAGAGGUAGGUGGAAUUCUUGGUGUAGGGGUAAAAUCCGUAGAGAUCAAGAGGAAUACUCAUUGCGAAGGCGACCUGCUAGAACAUAACUGACGCUGAUGCGCGAAAGCGUGGGGAGCAAACAGGAUUAGAUACCCUUGUAGUC
rnacentral:rRNA from 1 species